GUAACAAGGUUUCCGUAGGUGAACCUGCGGAAGGAUCAUUACUGAGUGAGGGCCCUCUGGGUCCAACCUCCCACCCGUGUUUAACGAACCUUGUUGCUUCGGCGGGCCCGCCUCACGGCCGCCGGGGGGCAUCCGCCCCCGGGCCCGCGCCCGCCGAAGACACCUGUGAACUCUGUCUGAAGUUGCAGUCUGAGAAACUAUUUAAAUUAGUUAAAACUUUCAACAACGGAUCUCUUGGUUCCGGCAUCGAUGAAGAACGCAGCGAAAUGCGAUAAAUAAUGUGAAUUGCAGAAUUCAGUGAAUCAUCGAGUCUUUGAACGCACAUUGCGCCCUCUGGUAUUCCGGAGGGCAUGCCUGUCCGAGCGUCAUUGCUGCCCUCAAGCACGGCUUGUGUGUUGGGCCCCGUCCCCCCCCUCCCGGGGGGACGGGCCCGAAAGGCAGCGGCGGCACCGCGUCCGGUCCUCGAGCGUAUGGGGCUUUGUCACCCGCUCUUGUAGGCCCGGCCGGCGCUUGCCGACCCCCUCAAUCUAUUUUUCAGGUUGACCUCGGAUCAGGUAGGGAUACCCGCUGAACUUAAGCAUAUC
rnacentral:misc_RNA from 1 species